rnacentral:sRNA from 1 species
GCAUUGGUGCGCCUCAGGCCAGGCUGCACUGCUGGGACCGGGGCCAUGUCUCCCCACCCCACCGCCCUCCUGGGCCUAGUGCUCUGCCUGGCCCAGACCAUCCACACGCAGGAGGUGGACGCUGAGAUCCUUCUCUGCUUCCCUCUUAGGGGCCCUGCCCAGACCCUCCAUCUCGGCUGAGCCAGGCACUGUGAUCCCCCAGGGGAGCCAUGUGACUUUCGUGUGCCGGGGCCCGGUUGGGGUUCAAACAUUCCGCCUGGAGAGGGAGAGUAGAUCCACAUACAAUGAUACUGAAGAUGUGUCUCAAGCUAGUCCAUCUGAGUCAGAGGCCAGAUUCCGCAUUGACUCAGUAAGUGAAGGAAAUGCCGGGCUUUAUCGCUGCAUCUAUUAUAAGCCCCCUAAAUGGUCUGAGCAGAGUGACUACCUGGAGCUGCUGGUGAAAGGUGAGGACGUCACCUGGGCCCUGCCCCAGUCUCAGCUCGACCCUCGAGCUUGUCCCCAGGUCCCUGGACCCUGUCCCAGCUGCUGUCCUCUGUGGCCAACCUUGCCCUCCUCCUGA